CAGUGGUUCUUUUGUGCGGCCACCUUUGGGAACCUGGGAGCUGGGUGCAUCUGGCUUCCCUGUGUCCAGGCAGAGCAGCUCUGAAUAGGCACUCCCAGAUUUCCUAGCUGACUGUCAUUUAGACACUGAGGAUCAAGGAAAGGAAAGGAAAGGGAAAAAGGCAGGAGAAAGGGCAUCUCUACUCAAGGCAACAGCACGAGUAAGGGCGCCCUGGCUGCUGCGCAGGUACCGACUCACCCCCAUCACUUCCGUGGCUGGGGAAGAGGGAGUUCAGUAAACAGUUAUAGGAAAAAUAAUUGACAUUUAUACCAAAGAAGUACCUCUGAUACAGCUGCUCAGGAAGCCCAUUCCCCAGGCCUCGCCCAGUCAGACAUUCCUGGAGAGUAACUACCAAGAGAAAAUGAGAUGGAUCCGGCCCUUCGGAUUAUGUUAAAGGCAAUCAUUCCUCAGCUGGUGUCUUGUUAUGGUUUCAGUGGAAAACCCUGUCGAAUGGCACCUAUAAGAGAAAUGGGGAUUCCUGGCCAACAUGACUUGAGCUUCCCCAAGACUGCCAAGGGGAAGCUGUGGUCCAGUGCAUCAUGGUGGGAAGCCCUCUCCCACGGCGACUAGGAGACCAAUUCA